rnacentral:rRNA from 1 species
UCUAGCAUGUAAGUCAG